rnacentral:rRNA from 1 species
GACGAACGCUGGCGGCGUGCUUAACACAUGCCAGUCGAACGGAAAGGCCCUGCUUUUGUGGGGUGCUCGAGUGGCGAACGGGUGAGUAACACGUGAGUAACCUGCCCUUGACUUUGGGAUAACUUCAGGAAACUGGGGCUAAUACCGGAUAGGAGCUCCUGCUGCAUGGUGGGGGUUGGAAAGUUUCGGCGGUUGGGGAUGGACUCGCGGCUUAUCAGCUUGUUAGUGGGGUAGUGGCUUUCCAAGGGUUUGACGGGUAGCCGGCCUGAGAGGGUGACCGGCCACACUCGGACUGAGAUACGGCACAGACGCCUACGGGAGGCAGAAGUGGGGAAUAUUGCACAAUGAGAGGAAGCCUGAUGCAGCAACGCCGCGUGCGGGAAAACGGCAUUCGGGUUGUAAACCGCUUUCGCCUGUGACGAAGCGAGAGUGACGGUAAUGGGUAAAGAAGCAACGGCUAACUACGUG